UACGUAGGGGGCGAGCGUUGUCCGGAGUUACUGGGCGUAAAGCGCUUGUAGGCGGUCCACCAAGUUUGGGGUGACAGUUGCCGACUUAAUCGGCAAAGUGCCUCAAAGACUGGCGGACUUGAGGGCCACAGAGGGACAUGGAACUCCAGGUGUAGUGGUGAAAUGCGUAGAUAUCUGGAAGAACACCAAAGGCGAAGGCAGUGUCCUUGGUGGUCGCUGACGCUGAGAGGCGAAAGCCAGGGGAGCGAACGGG
rnacentral:rRNA from 1 species